AGACACUCAAUAAAUGUUAUACUCAGCUGCCUCUCCUCCAUCAAGCUCCAGCAGUGCCAAGCUAACACUUGGAGAUGUCCCUGUCUGGUGUUUCUUAGUGAACCCAGGGAAGAGGCUGUGGUCAGUAUCCAACAGCUUCAUUACAAAGGAACUUUGGUCGAUGGGAGUGCUGGGAUCUGGGGUUAUGAUCUGACGUUUUCAAACUGAGACU
rnacentral:snoRNA from 1 species